GAUGAAGAACGUAGCGAAAUGCGAUAAGUAAUGUGAAUUGCAGAAUUCAGUGAAUCAUCGAGUCUUUGAACGCACAUUGCGCCCCCUGGUAUUCCGGGGGGCAUGCCUGUCCGAGCGUCAUUGCUGCCCUCAAGCACGGCUUGUGUGUUGGGCCGCCGUCCCCGGUUUCCCCCGGGGACGGGCCCGAAAGGCAGCGGCGGCACCGCGUCCGAUCCUCGAGCGUAUGGGGCUUUGUCACCCGCUCUGUAGGCCCGGCCGGCGCCAGCCGACACCCAACUUUAUUUCUAAGGUUGACCUCGGAUCAGGUAGGGAUACCCGCUGAACUUAAGCAUAUCAUAAGCGGAGGA
rnacentral:misc_RNA from 1 species